UGCAUCUUGAUAGCUCAGUUGGUUAGAGCAUGGUGCUGAGAACAGCAAGGUUGCAGGCUCAAUCCCUGUAAAUGGAU